ensembl:lncRNA
AUGCAAUCGAGGCGGUCUGAGCACAGUCACAGGCGGCAAUACCGCGACAGAAGUCCAAGGCUAAAGGACGACUAUGAUCAUAGAUGGGAAGAAAGGCGUGAACCUCCGAGAGAUCCACCGCAGGAUUCAUAUCAGAAAUAUGGUGGAAAUGGCUGUAGUAGCAAAGAGCGGACAAGCAGAAGUAGACAAUACAGUGACUCGCCUAAGAUGCUGUACAGCGAAGACUCUUUGAACAGAGACUUGAGCAGAAAGACCUCAGCGAGGAGACGUAUGUCUUCCCCUGAUUGGGGUUCUUUUGAAAAGAAAAGUCAAAGAAAUGCAGAGGAUGGUAACAGGUACAGGCUCGAGCCUGAGAACGAUACAACCAGGCGGUCACCCAACAGUUUUUCACGGGCGCACGUGACAAAGGAUUUUAAACAAAUGCUAACACAAGAAGAGGAUUUCCAACACAGGAAAACACCUCAAGACUCCAGGCACAAAUAUGUGCAUGAUGAGUUCACGUAUAGGCAACAACAGGAUAACUGCAGACAAUCGUCUGGAUAUUACAAAGAUAGAGUGGGUCACCAAAGGAGCCGAGAUCGUUCACAAGAGAGGAAGUCACGUGAUCGCUCCAAGAAGUGUUAUGUCAAACCCAGAGUGCGGAAUGACAGCCCCUCCCUGGAUCAUGAGGAGUAUCGUCAAAAUAUAGGACGAUUUCCAUUGAGUGCAUCUUCUGGACAGUUGUUUGAGAGUGAUGUCACCAACCAAAGUGCUGUUGUACCAGAGCAGGAGUCAACCGUGGGUUUCCAGCGUUUCCUUAAUGUGCUCAACAAGGGUGUAAAUGUUGCCACACUCACCAAAAUAGUGACUCAGUCCUCAACAGAAGUGAGUGAUCGGUCAAGUCCUCCUUCUUUCGUGAACACUGAUUUUUCCUGGUCUCCCAGUUAUGCUGAAGGGCAACAUGGAAGCCACCAAAAUACCGGCCAUUGGAGUGACAGCGAAGGAUUUCAGAGACUGGCUUCUUCACAGCCUCGUGAGCGGUCAUUUAGCCCAAGGAGGCAGUCUCUGUCUGACGAAAAGUCUGUGCAAAGGGGCAACGAAGAACCAAGUAACUUAAGCUCCAACAGUAGAUCCAAGUGCCCCUCAGGAGAACAAAAGAUAACACUGUCUCCUGAAGAGGAGCACAAGCAGAGGCAAAUGCAGAGUGUUUUGCAAGCCAUUGGCAUGAAUUUGGGAUCUGAGGAGCUGGGCCAGAUGUCUCAUCGGAUCCAAGAGCGGUUAUAUGGAAAAAAGGAUAGAGACUGCAAUCGUAGAGAAAGCAGGGAAAUGGAUACCAGGCGAGCGUUUUCACCAAGACCUGACAGUCGAUCAUCAUCCUCAUCAAGCAGAUCUAGUUAUAGUCCGUUAAAUCAGAAGUAUUACAAGAAAAAAGACUCCUACAGCGUUCAGAGUGAUGUAACCGAGGUACACCAAGACCCGGUGCAUGAGGGUGUUGAAUAUGGCCGGAAGAGCACAAGUAGCACUUUACAGCAGAGUGACAAAUGUGAGACUUGGUCUGAGGAAAGCACUGCUGCACCUCAAGCAUUUUCUCAAAAUUUAGCAUACACUUUCUUAAAGCCAUCUCCUACACCUGCAAUGCCGGUGUACUCGCCAGUAGACUGCUUAUCGGCUUCAUACCCACCCUUUCCUCCUAACUUGCCCCACCUUGGAACCGGGCUUCAUAUGCCUCCCUUCUUCCCAUUCCCCCAUGCACCACCUGUGAGUAUCUUUCCAGCAGUACUGGCUCAAGCAAGACACUUACUCCCACAGCGCGUUGGCAAUCCACCCUUUUUUAACUUGUCAGGUAAUAACCCCAAUCCACCACUGAACAACACACAGAAAUCAAAACCAUUGUCAAGGCCUCGCUUUUUGCAAGUCAUUGAAACCAAACAACCGGGAUGA